GACGAACGCUGGUGGCGUGCUUAACACAUGCAAGUCGAACGGGAUUUAGUAAACAGAAGCCUCGGUGGAAGAUUACUAAUGAGAGUGGCGAACGGGUGAGUAACGCGUGAGCAACCUGCCUAUGACAGUGGGAUAGCCUCGGGAAACCGGGAUUAAUACCGCAUAAAGUCGUAGAAACACAUGUUUUAACGGUCAAAGAUUUAUCGGUCAUAGAUGGGCUCGCGUCUGAUUAGCUAGUUGGUGAGAUAACAGCCCACCAAGGCGACGAUCAGUAGCCGGUCUGAGAGGAUGAACGGCCACAUUGGAACUGAGACACGGUCCAAACUCCUACGGGAGGCAGCAGUGGGGAAUAUUGCACAAUGGGGAAACCCUGAUGCAGCGACGCCGCGUGAACGAAGAAGGUAUUCGUAUCGUAAAGUUCUGUCCUAUGGGAAGAUAAUGACAGUACCAUAGAAGAAAGCUCCGGCUAAAUACGUG
rnacentral:rRNA from 1 species